rnacentral:rRNA from 1 species
UACGGAGGGUGCAAGCGUUAUCCGGAUUCACUGGGUUUAAAGGGUGCGUAGGUGGGCAAGUAAGUCAGUGGUGAAAUCUCCGGGCUUAACCCGGAAACUGCCAUUGAUACUAUUUGUCUUGAAUACUGUGGAGGUCAGCGGAAUAUGUCAUGUAGCGGUGAAAUGCUUAGAUAUGACAUAGAACACCAAUUGCGAAGGCAGCUGGCUACACAAAUAUUGACACUGAGGCACGAAAGCGUGGGAUCAAACAGG